AUUUUGAGUAUGCCCAAAAGUAGUUCUUAUUGACCUAGGAACACUGUAAAAAUUUCAUUUCGCUAGGUGCAACCGUUCAAAAGUUACAGGGGGGGGAGCUGAACUUUUUGAAGACCCUGUAGAAGAAAUCUAGCCUUGAUGAAGAAAUUUACCUUUCCUUCAUUAAGGGCGGUCUUACAAACCCUGCUACUUUGGGCAUCAUGGUCGGGAUCAGCGGCGUGGCAAAGGCUAGCUUGUUCUCGGACCUAACAAACUUUGAAGCCUAUUCGAUUUUCGAUACGUUCGUAACGUUUUGCCUGCGCCCGCCCUAAAUUCAAAGUUUGACAGGGUUGGCAGUUCCGACUACCUCAGCCAAUACCCUGGCGGAGGGAGUCGAAACUACAACGAGUCUUUCUUCACACCGGACUAGUGCUUCCGCGUUGCGUUCCGCCUUGCUUUCGCUCAAAAUGUAUUUUCGGUUAAAAGCCACCCCUUUUGGAGGUGGUAGUUCUUGUUGUCUUCCUUAGGUGAGUUAUGUGGUGGCUUGUGGCCACCACACUUCAUUUGUUCUUCCCUUCUCAGCUCUUGGGGUAGAUAUCUUGCACGCGAUGGCCUACCCCACGCGUUUCCUUUUUCGCUUCAUUUCGUGUUUUUCUGUAGUUGAGAGUCUCGUCAAGCCUCAACAUUACGUUCAACAUUACGCUACGUUCAGUGCCUAUUUUGGACUCACGACACCGGAAGUAAAACGGACCAUUGCCAACACAGGAACACAAUUGACGUUCGAAAAAUUUUCUGAAUGGUACGAUGGUUAUAUAUUUGGCAAUGAAAUUAUCUUCAACCCAUGCUCCGUUAUAAAAGCGAUUUCCGAAAACAAAUUCGACCAGUAUUGGGGACUUUCCGGAUCAACGCGGAUGAUCAAAGCUCUGAUUAAUUAUUCCGGCAGAGGCGGUAUGCAGGACAUGUUUUUCCUCCUCUGGGCAUACAUUGACAAAACGUUUCGAACCUGA
rnacentral:lncRNA from 1 species